rnacentral:sRNA from 1 species
UCAGGAGGCGAGCAAACACCCUGAGUCACUUCCCCAUGGAAUGCCAGGAACCUCCACAACCUGCCCGGGGGUUCCCGGGGGUUUCGCAAAGGAAACUUAUGAGGUAUCACUCAGUGAGCACAGAGACGCCUCAUGAACGAAAUGUGGAUCCUUCACCUGUGGGCGAGUCUAAGCACCGCCCAGGUCAGUCUUCAGCUCCUGCUCCUCCACCUCGUCUUAACCCCUCCGCCUCCUCGCCAAACUUUUUUAAGUACCUAAAACAUAAUUCCAGUGGAGAACAAAGUGGGAAUGCUGUGCCAAAGAGCAUCUCCUACCGUAAUGCCCUGCGGAAAAAACUUCAUUCUUCUUCCUCUGUGCCAAAUUUUCUAAAAUUUCUGGCUCCUGUAGAUGAAAAUAACACCUCUGACUUUAUGAACACAAAAAGGGACUUUGAAUCCAAAGCAAACCAUCUUGGUGAUUCUGGUGGGACUCCUGUGAAGACCCGGAGGCAUUCCUGGAGGCAGCAGAUAUUCCUCCGAGUAGCCACCCCGCAGAAGGUGUGCGAUUCUUCCAGCAGAUAUGAAGUCCAUCAUUCCUAGAGGAACGUCACGCACCGGUUAAACUCCGCCAUUUUGCCUCUUAAUGCGC